rnacentral:lncRNA from 1 species
GGCCAUACACUUGUGUUCGCUCCCGUCAGUGCCUGCGGCUCCACACUCGCGCUCUGAUUCGCGCCUACUUGGGGACCCUGUCCCCACGCUACUCACUACCCUGUCCCCUCCCACCCAUCUAAAAUGUCUAAUAGACUCCAGACCGUCUUUCUGAAAACCGCAGAAGAAAAGUCAGGCUCGCACUGACCCAGUAUGAGAUGGCAUCAAUAUUAAAAAAAGAUAUUCAAGAAAGAAGUAACAAGAAAUAUUCUCAAGGAAACCAUACCAAGGCAUCAUAUCUGAAGAAUGAUGCUGAAUUUAAAAAGAUAUUUGGUCUCACUAAAGAUUUGAGAGUGUGUCUUACUCGAAUUCCUGACCAUCUGAGCUCUACAAAAAGUUUUGAUUCCUUUAACAAUUUGAUGAAAAGUAGUUCUUACAAAGAUGCAAACGUUGUGAUGAAGGAAGAAAAAAAACAGGUAAUAGUUUUUAAAGGUAUGACAUUUUUGUAGGUGUGACAAACAUAUAGCUAUAAUUAUCUUUUAUUUGGUUUUCAAUGUACUUUAGAUUGAGUGAUGAUUUUUUUUUUGCCAAAUUUGUGGAUAUCUCAUGAAACAAUGACAAAUCUUAUACACAGAUAAAAAUAUAUUCUUAGUUAAUUCAAGUUAAGUAUUUUUAGUUACCUUUUUUCUGUUUGUAAUGUAAGAAAAUAGUCAGAAGCCUUACAAAUAGUUAUCCUAUUUCAAAGAAUUAUUUAAAGGAGAUAAGUGUAGGGGAAAAUAUAAACAUAUUGAUAUUCAUUGGAGUAUUAACACUACAUUUUAAGCAGCAUAUAUAGUAAGUAAU